rnacentral:lncRNA from 1 species
GGGAUCUCCCUUUGGAAAAAAGAUUGAAACCUUUGGUAAAAGCCCUAAGUAACUCGGUUGCCAGGGGUUAUGAAAGUGGACAUGGAAGAUGAUGGUGGUAUGGCUCGGAGGAGACAUCUCUAAGUUUGAGCUCGUAUUUUUGGUUUUUGAGUCUUUGGUGCGAGGUUUUUACCUGAGGUCUUCAUCAGAACAUACGCUUGAUACAUGGUUUGACUUCCUAUUGAAGAAAAUUUCGCACUUUUGCAUUGAAUGUGUAGGCUUGUUCAUGCGAAUGGUGUAGGGAGAACUAAGGAAAACUAAGAGUUUAUGUGCAUAUCAUGGCGCAUCCUUGUUGUUUGACAUGGAUGGUACUAGGCAAAGUUUUGUUUGUGUCGAAAUCUAAAACAACACCUAUACACCAGUACAAUAAAGAUUAUCAAGAUGCGCAAAUGCGUGAUUCAGCGCGCUACUAGUUAAGAACCAUGAUCCAUGUUCAAAUUCAUUUGCUCAAAUUUCACUUUCCAACCGACACCACGAUACGGGGGCAUGGCAUACGUAUGCCCAGAAGCAACAGCGGCGG